UACGUAGGGACCAAGCGUUGUCCGGAAUCAUUGGGCGUAAAGAGCGUGUAGGCGGCUUGUUAAGUCUUGCGUGAAAUCUCGGGGCUCAACCCCGAGAGGUCGUGAGAAACUGGCAGGCUAGAGUGCGGGAGAGGAGAGUGGAAUUCCUGGUGUAGAGGUGAAAUGCGCAGAUAUCAGGAGGAACACCGAUUGCGAAGGCAGCUCGCUGGGACGUGACUGACGCUGAGACGCGAAAGCGUGGGGAGCAAACAGG
rnacentral:rRNA from 1 species